rnacentral:rRNA from 1 species
AUUGAACGCUGGCGGCAGGCCUAACACAUGCAAGUCGAAUGGUAACAGGAAACAGCUUGCUGUUUCGCUGACGAGUGGCGGACGGGUGAGUAAUGUCUGGGAAACUGCCUGAUGGAGGGGGAUAACUACUGGAAACGGUAGCUAAUACCGCAUAACGUCGCAAGACCGAAGAGGGGGACCUUCGGGCCUCUUGCCAUCAGAUGUGCCCAGAUGGGAUUAGCUAGUAGGUGGGGUAACGGCUCACCUAGGCGACGAUCCCUAGCUGGUCUGAGAGGAUGACCAGCCACACUGGAACUGAGACACGGUCCAGACUCCUACGGGAGGCAGCAGUGGGGAAUAUUGCACAAUGGGCGCAAGCCUGAUGCAGCCAUGCCGCGUGUAUGAAGAAGGCCUUCGGGUUGUAAAGUACUUUCAGCGGGGAGGAAGGGAGUAAAGUUAAUACCUUUGCUCAUUGACGUUACCCGCAGAAGAAGCACCGGCUAACUCCGUG